GCGCCCGGCCGGGCCGGGCCUAUUAGAAGUGGGCGUGGCGAAUUUCCCAAGCUGCCGGAAUUCCCUAGUUUCUCCAGGCUCCCGGACCUGUCAUGCUGCGGGUAUUCCGGGCUCGUCUGGCCACUCCGCUUCUCCGGGCCUCGCUGGGCCUGGGGCAGGGGCUGUGGCCAGGGCGGGCGGUGUCAGGGGAACGCGGGCAGGACUGGCUGCAGCCUGCAGGCCACGAUACGGGCGUCAAGGUGUACAACAGCCUCACCCGGAGGAAGGACUCCUUAAUCGUGGGCAGCGCGGACGCCGCCUCCUGGUAUAGCUGUGGCCCAACUGUCUAUGAUCAUGCACACCUUGGCCAUGCUUGUUCAUAUGUUAGAUUUGAUAUAAUUCGAAGGAUCCUAACCAGGGUUUUUGGAUGCAACAUCAUCAUGGUGAUGGGAAUUACAGAUGUGGAUGAUAAGAUCAUUAAAAGGGCCAAUGAAAUGAAGAUAUCACCUGCUUCUCUGGCCAAUCUUUAUGAAGAAGAUUUUAAACAAGAUAUGGCAGCCUUGAAGGUUCUUCCACCCACAGUGUACUUGAGGGUAACUGAAAAUAUUCCUCAGAUCAUUUCUUUCAUUGAAGGAAUAAUUGCUAAUGGGCAUGCGUAUUCAACAGCAAAAGGGAAUGUCUACUUUGAUCUGCAGUCACGAGGAGACAAGUACGGCAAGCUCGUCGGUGUGGUUCCCGGUCCCACUGCAGAGCCAGGUGAUUCUGACAAGCGGCAUGCCAGCGACUUUGCCCUGUGGAAGGCAGCUAAACCCCAGGAGGUGUUUUGGGCCUCUCCUUGGGGAAACGGAAGGCCUGGCUGGCAUAUUGAAUGUUCUACCAUCUCAAGUCUGGUGUUUGGGAGUCAACUAGACAUCCAUUCAGGUGGGAUAGACCUAGCUUUUCCGCAUCAUGAAAAUGAAAUUGCACAGUGUGAGGUCUUUCAUCAGUGCCAGCAAUGGGGAAACUAUUUUCUACAUUCUGGACAUUUGCAUGUGAAAGGCAAAGAAGAAAAAAUGUCCAAAUCACUGAAGAACUACAUCACCAUUAAGGACUUUCUGAAGAUGUUUUCCCCUGAUGUCUUCCGGUUUUUCUGCAUGCGGAGCAGCUACAGGUCAGCUAUCGACUACAGCGACAGCACCGUGCUGGAAGCAAAGCACCUCCUCCUGGCUGUGGCUGCGUUUGUCCAGGAUGCUCGGGCCUACAUGAAGGGGCAGCUGGUGUGCGGCCCCAUCAGGGAAGACGUGCUGUGGGAGAGGCUCAGCCACACCAAGGCUGCGGUGAAGGCUGCCUUGGCAGAUGACUUUGACACACCCGGAGCAGUGGAUGCCAUCAUGGAUCUCAUUCACCAGGGGAACAGACAGCUGAAGGUGGUCACUAAGGAACCCCGCGGUCCUAGGAGCCCUGCCGUGUUCGGCGCCAUCAUCUCCUACAUUGAGCAGUUCUUUGAGACGGUUGGAAUUUCUCUGGCAGAACGACAGUUUGUUUCAGGGGACAGCAGCUCAGCCACUCUGCACAGCGUGGUGGAGGAGCUGGUCCGAUUCCGGCUCAAGGUCCGACAGUUCGCCCUGGCCACGGGAGAGGCUACCAAGGAGGCCCGGAGGCAGGUGCUCCUGGAGAGGCAGCCCCUGCUGGAGGCAUGCGAUGCCCUGCGCCAGGACCUUGCUAUCCAUGGCAUCAGUAUUAAGGACAGGAGCAGCACAUCCACCUGGGAACUGCUGGGUCAGAGGUCAGAAGACCACAAAGCUGGGAGCUGAGAUGCGUGAAGCGGGAACCACAGGCUCACAAUGCGGUCUGUGCUUGCUUGUCACUAUAGAAGCUUUACAUUAAAGUUUUCCGUUGUGGCUAUUUAGUCAACAUUAAAAUAAAUCAAACUGAUACAAU